CUUCAUACCUUUCAGACUGUCAGUACAGUUGAAAGUAUGGAUUAUAUCCCUCGCACUCCGCGCAGGUUAAGUAAUAAUAACAACUAAAUCACGCAGGUGACGUGACAGCGUGGGAGGACAUAUAAAACCAUGCACGACUACCUGACUCAGGCAGCACAGUUCAUGGUUCUCUCUUCACUGGUCUUUUGAUGGGAGCCGGAGCCCUGCUAUUGGUCACUCUGCUGCAGCCAUGAAAGAAUGGUCUAAUCAAAUCAAAUUCUAUUUGUCACAUGCACCGAGUACAACAGGAGUAGGCCUUACAGUGAAGUGCUUACUUACAAGCCCUUAACCAACAAUGC